AUUGAACGCUGGCGGCAGGCCUAACACAUGCAAGUCGAACGAGUGGCGGACGGGUGAGUAAUGUCUGGGAAACUGCCUGAUGGAGGGGGAUAACUACUGGACACGGUAGCUCAUACCGCAUACCAUCAGAUGUGCCCAGAUGGGAUUAGCGAGUUGGUGGGGUAACGGCUCACCAAGGCGACGACCCCUAGCUGGUCUGAGAGGAGGACCAGCCACACGGGAACUGAGCCACGGUCCAGACUCCUACGGGAGGAAGCAGGGGGGAAUGUUGCACAAUGGGCGCAAGCCUGAUGCAGCCAUGCCGCGUGUAUGAAGAAGGCCUUCGGGUUGUAAAGUACUUUCAGCGGGGAGGCGUUACCCGCAGAAGAAGCACCGGCUAACUCCGUGCCAGCCGCCGCGGUAAUUC
rnacentral:rRNA from 1 species